AGCGAACGCUGGCGGCAGGCUUAACACAUGCAAGUCGAGCGCCGUAGCAAUACGGAGCGGCAGACGGGUGAGUAACACGUGGGAACGUACCUUUUGGUUCGGAACAACACAGGGAAACUUGUGCUAAUACCGGAUAAGCCCUUACGGGGAAAGAUUUAUCGCCGAAAGAUCGGCCCGCGUCUGAUUAGCUAGUUGGUGAGGUAACGGCUCACCAAGGCGACGAUCAGUAGCUGGUCUGAGAGGAUGAUCAGCCACACUGGGACUGAGACACGGCCCAGACUCCUACGGGAGGCAGCAGUGGGGAAUAUUGGACAAUGGGCGCAAGCCUGAUCCAGCCAUGCCGCGUGAGUGAUGAAGGCCCUAGGGUUGUAAAGCUCUUUUGUGCGGGAAGAUAAUGACUGUACCGCAAGAAUAAGCCCCGGCUAACUUCGUGCCAGCCGCCGCAGUAAUAC
rnacentral:rRNA from 1 species